CAGAGCCAGCCAGCAGCAAAAAGAGCAUGGAGCUGAGGAGUACAGCAGCCCCCAGAGCUGAGGGCUACAGCAACGUGGGCUUCCAGAAUGAAGAAAACUUUCUUGAGAACGAGAACACAUCAGGAAACAACUCAAUAAGAAGCAGAGCUGUGCAAAGCAGGGAGCACACAAACACCAAACAGAGAAUCAAAGGCCACAUUGGAUUUGACAGAAGACAAGUGCUGAGAUUUGACAUUAUGCUUCUUAGAGCACACUCAAACUGCUCCACCUCCAUCUAUUUCCUCCCCCACCAGCUUCUGUACCAUUGGUUACAAGAGCCAGGCUUAUUAUUUGAGACAUUAUUGGAGACUGGAGACAGGAUGAAGAACAGAUCACAGUUGAGCAGGAUUCUCCAAGAAACAGAGAACACAUGGAGGAUGAUGAUGAGGAGAUGCAACAAAAAGGGUGUUUGGAAAGGAGGUAUGACACGGUAUGUGGUUUCUGUAGGAAACACAAAACAACUCUUCGGCACAUC
rnacentral:sRNA from 1 species